rnacentral:rRNA from 1 species
CAGUCGCCACGGGAACACGUAGGUGGCAAGCGUUGUCCGGAAUUAUUGGGCGUAAAGCGCGCGCAGGCGGAUCGGUCAGUCUGUCUUAAAAGUUCGGGGCUUAACCCCGUGAUGGGAUGGAAACUGCCAAUCUAGAGUAUCGGAGAGGAAAGUGGAAUUCCUAGUGUAGCGGUGAAGUGCGUAGAUAUUAGGAAGAACACCAGUGGCGAAGGCGACUUUCUGGACGAAAACUGACGCUGAGGCGCGAAAGCCAGGGGAGCGAACGGGAUUAGAUACCCGAGUAGUCCCUGUCUCUUAUACC